CCAACCUCAUCUUCUCAGCCGCCCUCAUCCCCAUCUCUCCCCACGUGUUCUUCUCCCCCACACUCCUGAUUCCCUUUCUCUCUUCUAUCCCCUUCUCUCUGUCCAGCGAGGAACAACACUCCAGUCCCUCUCAAUGGCCGUCGGUGCUUUAAGGCUUCCCCGUAGAGCUCUCGAUCCAGGAGGCCACCACCGAGCCCCUCGACCGCCUCCUCCUUCCUCUUCGUCCUCGCGCAUGCCGCCCCACCGCAGCUCCAAGGAAGCAUGCAGGGGGCCUCACCACUGCCGCCACCACGGCCGUCGCACCGCCGCCGCCUCCGAGUUUGCCGGCCGUUGGCGAACAUCUCCUCUGCGACCGGCGCUGCGACCCUCUGCCUCGCCUCCAUCAUACGUAAGGAUGAUGACGACCGCGCCGACAUCGAUCCAUUGCGGUCCGUCCCUCGCCUCGCUCGUGUGGGGCGCACCUGCGCGUGGACCGCCGGUCAGGCAAGCCGCCCCUCGUUGGCGGGAGCGCCAGUGCCGCUUGCCUGAAGCAUCUGAUGGCGGCCCAGACGUUGCUUCGACGGCGACCAGGACUCCUCUUUGCGUUCGUUUUGUUACUCAUUUGCAUCUCUGCCAUCUGAGUCAAUUGUAAAUUGAUAACCCACAAGUAUAGGGGAUCUAUCGUAGUCCUUUCGAUAAGUAAGAGUGUCGAACCCAACGAGGAGCAGAAGGAAAUGAUGAGCGGUUUUCAGCAAGGUAUUCUCUGCAAGCACUGAAACUAUAGAUAAUAGAUAGUUUUGUGAUAAGAUAAUUUGUAACGAGCAAGAAGUAACAAAAGUAAAUAAAGUGCAGCAAGGUGGCUCAAUCCUUUUUGUAGCAAA